rnacentral:rRNA from 1 species
UACGUAGGGAGCAAGCGUUGUCCGGAAUCAUUGGGCGUAAAGCGCGCGUAGGCGGCCCGGUAAGUCCGUUGUAAAAGUCGAAGGCUCAACCUUCGAAAGCCGAUGGAUACUGCCGGGCUAGAGUUCGGAAGAGGCGAGUGGAAUUCCUGGUGUAGCGGUGGAAUGCGCAGAUAUCAGGAGGAACACCUAUAGCGAAGGCGGCUCACUGGACUGGUACUGACGCUGAGGCGCGAAAGCGUGGGGAGCAAACAGG